rnacentral:rRNA from 1 species
CCUACGGGAGGUAGCAGUGAGGAAUAUUGGUCAAUGGACGAGAGUCUGAACCAGCCAAGUAGCGUGAAGGAUGACUGCCCUAUGGGUUGUAAACUUCUUUUAUAUGGGAAUAAAAUGUUCCACGUGUGGGAUUUUGUAUGUACCAUAUGAAUAAGGAUCGGCUAACUCCGUGCCAGCAGCCGCGGUAAUACGGAGGAUCCGAGCGUUAUCCGGAUUUAUUGGGUUUAAAGGGAGCGUAGGUGGAUUGUUAAGUCAGUUGUGAAAGUUUGCGGCUCAACCGUAAAAUUGCAGUUGAAACUGGCAGUCUUGAGUACAGUAGAGGUGGGCGGAAUUCGUGGUGUAGCGGUGAAAUGCUGAGAUAUCACGAAGAACUCCGAUUGCGAAGGCAGUUCACUGGACUGCAACUGACACUGAGGCUCGAAAGUGUGGGUAUCAAACAGGAUUAGAUACCCGUGUAGUC